AUUGAACGCUGGCGGCAUGCCUUACACAUGCAAGUCGAACGGCAGCACGGGAGCAAUCCUGGUGGCGAGUGGCGAACGGGUGAGUAAUAUAUCGGAACGUGCCCAGUCGUGGGGAUAACGUAGCGAAAGCUACGCUAAUACCGCAUACGAUCUAUGGAUGAAAGCGGGGGAUCGCAAGACCUCGCGCGAUUGGAGCGGCCGAUAUCAGAUUAGGUAGUUGGUGAGGUAAAGGCUCACCAAGCCGACGAUCUGUAGCUGGUCUGAGAGGACGACCAGCCACACUGGGACUGAGACACGGCCCAGACUCCUACGGGAGGCAGCAGUGGGGAAUUUUGGACAAUGGGCGAAAGCCUGAUCCAGCAAUGCCGCGUGAGUGAUGAAGGCCUUAGGGUUGUAAAGGCUCUUUUACCAGGGAUGAUAAUGACAGUACCUGGAGAAUAAGCUCCGGCUAACUCCGUGCCAGCAGCCGCGGUAA
rnacentral:rRNA from 1 species